rnacentral:tRNA from 2 species
AAAAUCCGUUGGUUUCGAUCGUGAGGGUUCGACUCCCUCUAUCCCCA